GUGAGGAAUAUUGCGCAAUGGAGGCAACUCUGACGCAGCCAUGCCGCGUGCAGGAAGAAGGCGCUACGCGAUGUAAACUGCUUUUAACCGGGAAGAAACCCUAGGACGUGUCCUGGGUUGACGGUACCGGAGGAAUAAGCACCGGCUAACUUCGUGCCAGCAGCCGCGGUAAUACGAAGGGUGCAAGCGUUAUCCGGAUUCAUUGGGUUUAAAGGGUGCGUAGGCGGAGCGUUAAGUCAGUGGUGAAAUCCUGCAGCUUAACUGUAGACUUGCCAUUGAUACUGGCGCUCUUGAGUGCGCUUGAAGUGGGCGGAAUGUGCCGUGUAGCGGUGAAAUGCUUAGAUAUGGCACAGAACACCAAUUGCGAAGGCAGCUCACUAAGGCGAUACUGACGCUGAGGCACGAAAGCGUGGGGAUCGAACAGGAUUAGAAACCCUUGUAGUCC
rnacentral:rRNA from 1 species